rnacentral:rRNA from 1 species
GAUGAACGCUGGCGGCGUGCCUAAUACAUGCAAGUCGAGCGAACAGAUGAGGAUCUUGCUCCUCUGACGUUAGCGGCGGACGGGUGAGUAACACGUGGAUAACCUACCUAUAAGACUGGGAUAACUUCGGGAAACCGGAGCUAAUACCGGAUAAUAUAUUGAACCGCAUGGUUCAAUAGUGAAAGACGGUUUUGCUGUCACUUAUAGAUGGAUCCGCGCCGCAUUAGCUAGUUGGUAAGGUAACGGCUUACCAAGGCAACGAUGCGUAGCCGACCUGAGAGGGUGAUCGGCCACACUGGAACUGAGACACGGUCCAGACUCCUACGGGAGGCAGCAGUAGGGAAUCUUCCGAAAUGGGCGAAAGCCUGACGGAGCAACACCGCGUGAGUGAUGAAGGUCUUCGGAUCGUAAAACUCUGUUAUUAGGGAAGAACAAAUGUGUAAGUAACUAUGCACGUCUUGACGGUACCUAAUCAGAAAGCCACGGCUAACUACGUG